rnacentral:tRNA from 1 species
CAAAAAGUAGCUUACAACUAAAGCACUCGACUUACACUCGAACGAUGUUAAAAUAACCUUUUUGA